rnacentral:rRNA from 1 species
GACGAACGCUGGCGGCGUGCUUAACACAUGCAAGUCGAACGGUGACGAGGAGCUUGCUCCUCUGAUCAGUGGCGAACGGGUGAGUAACACGUGAGCAACCUGCCCCAGACUCUGGGAUAACAGUUGGAAACAGCUGCUAAUACCGGAUACGAGACGGAGAGGCAUCUCUACCGUCUGGAAAGUUUCUCGGUCUGGGAUGGACUCGCGGCCUAUCAGCUAGUUGGUGAGGUAACGGCUCACCAAGGCGACGACGGGUAGCCGGCCUGAGAGGGCGACCGGCCACACUGGGACUGAGACACGGCCCAGACUCCUACGGGAGGCAGCAGUGGGGAAUAUUGCACAAUGGGCGAAAGCCUGAUGCAGCGACGCCGCGUGAGGGAUGAAGGCCU